rnacentral:rRNA from 1 species
CGAAGGGCGUAGCGUUGCUCGGAAUCACUGGGCGUAAAGGCGCGUAGGCGGCCAUUCAAGUCGGGUGAAAGCCUGUGGCUCAACCACAGAAUUGCCUUCGAUACUGUUUGGCUUGAGUUUGGUAGAGGUUGGUGGAACUGCGAGUGUAGAGGUGAAAUUCGUAGAUAUUCGCAAGAACACCAGUGGCGAAGGCGGCCAAACUGGACCAACACUGACGCUGAGGCGCGAAAGCGUGGGAGCAAACAGGAUU